AAGAACAGAUUUUAAUCCACUCGGUUCGUUACUCUCUGAAUCCCACACAAGCAGCGGAAAUUCUUACUAAACACAAUUUCAGAAAAGAAGAGGAUGAAGAAGAGAACAGUGAGCAGAAGAAGAUGAUGAGGGCCAUGGAAAAGUCGAACGGAGAGUCGGAGGUGAAGGAUGGUUUCGUCGAUCCAUCAGUCACUAUCUGGACCCACCAGGCCACCAUACCAACUCGGACCUCAUCGACCCCAUGAGCUGCUGAGCAGUGAGGUUUGAAUGUUCUUUGAUUUUCCUUUUGAUAAAUUAAAUAAAAUUCGCAAUGUUUUGGUAACUAUUUUCAAACUACAGCACUUGCAACUUUUUGGGCCACAAAAAUUGUGGUGUACAUUGAUUUUAUCCGAAUCUAUGCCCUCAUCAAUAAUUGAAACCUUUCUCUUUCCAUGUGCAUUCACAUCUCUGCUAUAAACAAUAAUUGAAAUCAUUCUCUCCGCAUAUCCGUUUCAUCCCCAUUUCUACUAAUAUUCUCUGCUCUUAAUUAUCAUAAACAAUGGCUGAAAUCGUUGUUUCUGCCUUCUUCUCGGUGUUCUUUGAAAAGCUGGCCUCUGAAGCCAUCCAGAAGAUUGCUCGCGCUAAGGGAAUUGAUUCCCAGCUCAGGAAACUGAAGAGGUCAUUAAUCCAGAUUAAAGCUCUGCUUAAUGAUGCUUCUCAGAAGGAAAUAACUGAUCAAGCUGUUAAAGAGUGGUUGAAUGGUCUCCAACAUCUGGCUUACGACAUAGACGACCUACUUGAUGACUUGGCAACAGAAGGUAUGCAUCGUGAGUUGACCGAGGAACCUGGAGACACCACCAGCAUGGUAAGAAAGCUAAUCCCAACUUGUUGCACAAAUUUCUCACUAAGUAGUAGGAUGGGUAGCAAGAUAGAUGCUAUUACUACCAAGUUACAAGAACUGGUAGAGGAAAAAGAAAAUCUUGGUUUAAGUGUGAAAGAUGAAAGCCCAAAACAUAUGAAUAGAAGAUUAGAGACCUCUUUGGUAGAUGCAUCUAGUAUUGUUGGACGCAAAGAUGAAAAGGAUGCUUUGAUCCACAAGCUAUAUGAACCAUGUGAUAGAAACUAUAGCAUCGUGCCCAUAGUUGGUAUGGGUGGGGUGGGCAAGACCACUCUAGCUAGACUUUUGUAUGACGAAAUGCAAGGGAAGGCUCACUUCGAACUCAACGCGUGGGUUUGUGUUUCUGAUGAAUUUGAUAUCUUCAAUAUAACCAAAGUUAUCUUUCAAGCGAUAGGCGGGGGAAACCAAAAAUUUAAGGACUUAAAUCUUCUUCAAGUAGCUUUAAAAGAGAAGAUAUCAAAGAAAAGAUUUCUUCUUGUUCUUGAUGAUGUUUGGAGUGAAAGCUAUACCGAUUGGGAAAUUCUAGAACGCCCAUUUCUAGCAGGAGCACCAGGAAGUAAGAUUAUCAUCACCACCCGGAAGCUGUCAUUGCUAACCCAACUGGGUUACAAUCAACCUUACAGUCUCUCUGUUUUGUCACAUGAGAAUGCUGUAUCUUUGUUCUGUCAACAUGCAUUCGGCGAAAAUAACUUCGAUUCACAUCCUUCACUUAAACCACAUGGUGAAGGUAUUGUCAAAAAAUGUGAUGGCUUGCCAUUGGCUUUGAUAGCGCUUGGGAGGUUAUUGAGGACAAAAACCGAUGAGGAAGAAUGGAAGGAGCUGCUUAAUAGUGAGAUAUGGAGGUUGGGAAAUAGAGAUAAGAUUAUUCCGGCUCUUAGGCUAAGCUACCAUGAUCUUUCUGCUAAUUUGAAGCUGCUGUUCGCAUACUGUUCCUUGUUCCCUAAGGACUACGUGUUUGACAUGGAGGAGUUGAUUCUAUUAUGGAUGGCGGAAGGGUUUUUGCAUCAAUCAAGUACAGGGAAAUCAAUGGAACGUAUGGGUGUUGAAUGUUUUGAAGACUUGUUGUCAAGGUCAUUUUUCCAACAGGCGCCUAAUGAUAAAUCGUUAUUUGUUAUGCAUGACCUGAUGAAUGACUUGGCCAUGUCUGUUGCUGGAGAAUUUUUUUCAAGGUUAGACAUUGAAAUGAAGAAGGAAAUUGGGAAGGAUGAUCCGGGUAAGUACCGGCAUAUGUCAUUUGUUUGUGAGAGAUAUAUGGUUUACACAAAGUUCGAGGCAUUCAAAGGAGCUAAUAGUUUGAGAACAUUAUUAGCUUUAUCUUUUGGGAUGAUAAACAGUUGGCAAACAUUCUACUUAUCAAAUGAGGUUUUAGAUAACUUACUUCAGGAGUUACCAUUGUUAAGGGUCCUAAGUUUGAGUAAUCUUAGCAUAAGGGAGGUACCAGAAUUCAUUGGCAGUCUGAAGCACCUGCGGUAUCUUAAUUUAUCUCAAACCAGAAUCACACAUUUACCAGAUAAUGUCGGCAACCUUUAUAAUUUACAGACGUUGAUUGUUUAUGGCUGUAGUUAUUUAAAAAAGUUGCCCGAGAGCUUCUCAAAGCUUAAAAAUUUGCGGCAUUUUGACAUGAGAGAUACUCGACUUUUGAAUAAGAUGCCCUUAGGGAUUGGUGAGUUGAAAAGCCUACGAACUCUCUCUAGGAUCAUUAUUGAAGGAGACAGCAGCUUUUCAAUAAGUGAGCUUAAAGAUCUAAAGGAUCUCCAAGGUAAAAUUUCCUUUGAGGGGCUUGACAAAGUGCGAAAUCCAAUGUACGCACAGGAAGUGAACUUAUCCCACAGGAGGCUAAGUGAGUUAGAGGUGAAAUGGAGUGAUGUAUUUGAUAAUUCUCGAGAGGAAACAGUUGAACAGGAGGUCCUGAAUGUGAUGAAGCCUCAUAAUGAUAAUCUAAAACAUCUCAGGAUUGUGUCGUAUGGAGGUACAAAGUUUCCGAAUUGGGUUGGGGAUCCCUCAUUUUAUCGGUUGGCUAAAGUGACACUAACUGGUUGUAAGAAGUGUACAUCUCUACCGCCACUUGGGCAGUUACCAUUACUUAAGGAGUUGGGUAUUGCAGGGAUGGAUGAGGUAAAAGUUGUGGGUCCGGAGUUGCUUGGGACUAGUCUUGCAUUCCCUUCACUUGAAAAACUACAUAUUUUUGAUAUGAAAGGGUGGGAGGCAUGGUCAACCAAUAAUAAUGGGGUACUUGUCGAUACAGCAUUUCCAUGCCUUCAAGAGCUUUUGAUAUGGAAUUGUCCUAAUUUGGUUACAGUCUCAGUUGAAGCAUUACCUUCACUGAGGGUUCUAAGGAUAACUGAGUGCGGUCAUGAGGUGUUAGGAAGUCUGGUUCGUGUAGCUUCAUCGAUUACCACGUUGGUUAUAGAUAAAAUUUCAGGACUUAAUGAUCAGGUGUGGGGAGGUGUUAUAGAGCAUCUUGGGGCAGUUGAGGAUAUACAUAUUACAAGGUGUAAUGAAAUAAGAUACUUGUGGAAAUCAGAAGCAGAGGCAAGUAAGGUUCUUGUAAACUUAAGUAGGUUGCAUGUAGGUUCCUGUUCAAAUAUGGUAAGUUUAGGAGAAAAAGAGGAGGAUAAUUGUCGGAGCAACCUAACAUCUCUUACAAGCUUGGAAGUAUGGAAGUGUAAAAGCUUGGAGCAUUGCAGCUGUCCAAAUAGCCUCAAGUCACUUGACAUCCGUAAUUGUAAUAAAUUAUUGGAAAAGGAGUUGGCAGGUGCACGAAAGAAGCCUCUGAUCAACUCAAACAUACUGAUGCUUGAAUCUGUAUGUAUAAUUAAUUGGCCAAAUCUGAAAUCGAUCACUGAUUUGAGUUCCUUCAAUCACCUUAGGAAUCUUCAAAUAGAAAAUUGUCCAAAUAUGGAGUCAUUUCCUGAUCAUGAGUUGCCAGAACUCAAUGUGUUAACACAUCUGACGAUAUUAAAUUGUCAAAGUAUGGAUGCGUCCUUUCCUAUUGGGCUUUGGCCUCCAAAAUUGCUUGUCCUUGUAAUAGGGGGGUUGAAGAAGCCCAUUUCAAAGUGGGGCCCACAAAAUUUUCCAACCUCACUUGUUUAUCUACUAUUAGUAGGUGGAGGGUCGGAAGAUGUGAGUAAUAUCAGUCAGUUGUCCCAUCUUCUUCCUUCAUCUCUUACUUCUCUUUAUAUAGAAGAAUUUGAGAAAGUGGAAUCAGUUUCAAAGGGACUCCAACACCUCACCUCUCUCCAGCAUCUCUUGAUUAGGAACUGCCCAAAGACAAGAGAUCUACCAGAAAUGUUGCUGCAUUCACUCUUGACUUUGACAAUAGAUGGAUGCCCAAAUCUAAAAGAAAGGAGUAGUAAAAGAGGCUCCUACUGGCCCCUCGUUUCACGUAUCCCCUGCAUCCGCAUAUACUAAGCAGUUCAGACUUAAUUCUAAAGGCCAUUUAAUUGAGAACAUGGAUUCACUUCCCAAACAUGAUGAUACAAAUAAAAGGGCAAGAAUUCAAAGCGUCUAACAACCACAACGACGUUGUAUUGAAUGUCAAUCGUAGGGAGCACGCUUCAACUGUUCAGGUGCCUCCAUAUAAAAUGAACACUUAGUUUCCCUAAAAUGGCACAUAUGCAAACUUCAUUACCCCAAUCUCGUCUCUAAGUUUACUCUAAAAUUGGGAAAUGCCUUCGAACGGACAUGUAGAACAUAGGUGGUCUCCAAACUACCGCCAUCACAUGGAGGAGAAUCAUUCCAAUGGUGUAACCAACGAAGACAUGGCCAUUAAUCUACUGCAAACCUAGCUAGAAUUGUCUCUCAUACGGGAGGACUUCCAAGACUAGUUGUGUGAGUUCCGACAAGCUGUUAAUCGAGACUUGGAUGCCAUGAACCGUGAGGCCGAUGACUUUCGUGCUGGUCAGGUAGAUAUCUCUAAUCUCAUUACUGUUCUUAAGAAUCAUUUCGUUAUAUUGCAAGGAUCAUAUGUGAAGAUGGUCUUUUAGCACAACAAAUGUAAGAAAGUGAAAUAUUGUCUUGGGAUUGUUGGUGUUGUUAUUGUGGGUGUGUUGACGUAUAUGUUCUUCAACUAAAAAAAACUUGUGUAGGGUAAAGCAUUUAUGUCAUGGGUUUGGGUUUUGCUGUGUUACUUAAGUUGUUUAAUGCCGAUAUUAGUAGUAGAUUUUGUGUCUGGUGUUGCUAAUAGUUUGUGCUAGUGGUGUAUAGAUUUGAUGGUGGUGUUGCUUGGGCUGCUGAUGGUCAUCAUUUUUUGAUGAAGGUUUUUGUCGAUGAUCUUUGUAAUAGGUUAUGGAAUAGCAAAAAGUGAUGUAAACAAACCCAUGGCUGAAAUGUUGGUUAAUAUGUUAUUAUUAAAAAAAAUUGUCUUACACC